GAUGAAGAACGUAGCGAAAUGCGAUAAGUAUUGCGAAUUGCAGAAUUUCCGUGAGUCAUCGAAUCUUUGAACGCACAUUGCGCCCACUGGUAUUCCGGUGGGCAUGCCUGUUCGAGCGUCAUUAUCCUCCCUCAAACCCCGGGUUUGGUGUUGGACCCAAGUUGUGUGAACAACUGGUCUUAAAGACAAUGACGGCGUCCGUGGGACCCUCGGUGCAACGAGCUUUUAGGAGCACGCAUCGAGUUGCAAGGACCUUCCGGGCCGGUCUCCUUUACUAUUUUACAAGGUUGACCUCGGAUCAGGUAGGAAUACCCGCUGAACUUAAGCAUAUCAAUAAGCGGAGGA
rnacentral:misc_RNA from 1 species